rnacentral:rRNA from 1 species
UGCAUGUUAAGUGGAAAAGGAUGUGGGAUCUCUAAGACAACUAGGAUGUUGGCUCAGAAGCAGCCAUUCAUUCAAAGAGUGCGUAACAGCUCACUAGUCGAGAGGUCCUGCGCCGAAAAUGUCCGGGGCUAAAACAUGCCACCGAAGCUCAGGAAUGACAUAGUCAUUGGUAGAGGAGCAUUCUUAACGCGAAGAAGCAGUACCGUAAGGAGCUGUGGAGUGCUAAGAAGAGAGAAUGCCGGAAUGAGUAGCGAGAACAAGGUGAGAAUCCUUGUGGCCGAAUAUCCAAGGUCUCCAGGGUAAAGCUGAUCUGCCCUGGGAAAGUCGGGACCUAAGGUCAGGCUGAAAAGCGUAGCCGAUGGACAACAGGUUGAUAUUCCUGUACCGCAUGGUAACAGAACUGUGGGGACACGGGAGGGAAACAUGGGCCGGAAAUGGAAAGUCCGGUACAAACGGGGUAGUCGCACAGCAGGCAAAUCCGCUGUGCAUAAGACGAAGCCGUGAUGUGGAGCGAAAUGAAGUAGCGAAGCAUGUGCCCCCUCCUGUCGAGAAAAGCCGCUAUUGUUUGCCAUGCGCCCGUACCGUAAACCGACACAGGUGGAUGAGGAGAGAAUCCUAAGGCCGGCGGGAGAAGCAUUGUCAAGGAACUCGGCAAAAUGACCCCGUAACUUCGGGAGAAGGGGUGCCCACGCAAGUGGGCCGCAGAGAAUAGGCUCAAGCAACUGUUUAGCAAAAACACAGGUCUAUGCGAAACCGUAAGGUGAUGUAUAUGGGCUGACGCCUGCCCGGUGCUGGAAGGUUAAGAGGAGAGGUUAGCGCAAGCGAAGCUUUGAAUUUAAGCCCCAGUAAACGGCGGCCGUAACUAUAACGGUCCUAAGGUAGCGAAAUUCCUUGUCGGGUAAGUUCCGACCCGCACGAAAGGCGUAAUGAUUUGAGCGCUGUCUCGACAAUGCACCCGGUGAAAUUGAAGUACCAGUGAAGAUGCUGGUUACCCGCGCCAGGACGGAAAGACCCCAUGGAGCUUUACUCCAGUUUGGUACUGGAGCCUGGUAUUGCAUGUACAGGAUAGGUGGGAGCUUAAGAACCUGGGACGCCAGUCUCAGGGGAGGCGCUGUUGGGAUACCACCCUUGCAAUAUCGGGUUUCUAACCAGCCGCCGUGAUCCGGCGGUGGGACAAUGCCAGGCGGGGAGUUUGACUGGGGCGGUCGCCUCCGAAAGGGUAUCGGAGGCGCCCAAAGGUUCCCUCAGAAUGGACGGAAACCAUUCGAAGAGUGCAAAGGCAGAAGGG